rnacentral:piRNA from 1 species
UAAAAAAUUUCAGAGUCUAUAACAGUCUUC